UACGGGGGGGGCAAGCGUUGUUCGGAAUUACUGGGCGUAAAGGGCUCGUAGGUGGCCAACUAAGUCGCACGUGAAAUCCCUCGGCUUAACCGGGGAACUGCGUCCGAUACUGGAUGGCUUGAGUUUGGGAGAGGGAUGCGGAAUUCCCGGUGUAGCGGUGAAAUGUGUAGAGAUCGGGAGGAACACCGGUGGCGAAGGCGGCCUUCUGGACGGUGACUGACGCUGAGGCGCGAAAGCGUGGGGAGCAAACGGG
rnacentral:rRNA from 1 species